CCAAAGCCNAACACNAAACNAAGACACCACACAAAAAAGACANACGAGNGAAACCNANCAAAAAACCAAACNCCACGACACAACAANACAACAAGACNACCCACACAACNUGCCAUGUCCAANAGCCNACAAANGCAUAGAAAACUAGACCUAACACACAACNCNAAUANCAUNAAGCACCUNACAAACAAUNGGACAGUGGAUUANUNUGNGGGACAAANAAAACAAGCACANGGAAACAUGGCCNAAANGACACUCANCAAUCGGCCGUCGCUGACGCUGUGCACCNCGNAUGNUNNUGACCGGGUCUGCGCCUUGUCCUCGCCGUCACUNCGNCUGNCGCGCACUCCNAGCGCNCCGUCCNGUGUNCCCGCCCCCCCCCCCCCCCCCUAGCUANGCCUNGCACCCAGCGAAUGCNUCUAGAUUUAGACGUUUGAUCAUGGGCUCAGCAUUGAGACGCUAGGCGUGCAAGCUUAACACAUGCAAGUCCGAGCGGGGAAGUGGUAGCUUGCUACCUAACCUAGCGGCGGACGGGUGAGUAAUUAGCUUAGUGAAAUCUUGCCCAUAUUAGUUGGNGUGUGACAACAUUACCGACAACGGAAAUGCUUAAUACCUGCCAUACGGUCCCUAACGGGGAGAACAGCANGUGGUUGAUCUUCGGGAACCUAUGUCGGCUAAAUGAAUGAGCCCUAAAGUCGAGAAUUUAAAGCCCUUAAGCUAUUUGCGGUUGAGUGNGGUUUACAACACACUGUGGCCCUUAACCCAAAUGUGCGCUCGAACCGGAAUCCUUGGUAAAGGCUGCGUGAUACCUAGAAGAAGUGGAAUUUGGCAAUUCCCCUGGUCCAACCACUUUGUGUGGAACCUUGGAAGACAACCAACUGAUGGCCCCCAAGAAACUUCCCCUAAACCGNGGUGCACGGUGGCCAACAGGCCCAAGGUUGCGCGNGGCAAAAUAAUAUUGGGGAACCAACAUUGGUGGGGCUUGUGAAACGGCCCUNGGAUACGCCAAGGGCCCAAUUGGCCCUGGCUGGUUGGUUGGUAUGGAAAACGGNACAAGGGGCCCUAUAAUAUUGUGGUAUGUUAAAAGANGGCAACCUACCUAAAAGGCGGACAGGGAAGGGGAAAGUGGCGUUCACUACACCUAAGGNUUAUAAAAUAUAACCCGUUAAGGGGAAUUGACACAGUUUGGGGAACGUUAUUAACCUUACCGGCAGAAAAAUAAAUAGCCAACCUGAGGCUUAAAACUUACCUAUGGUUAGGCCCCAUGCAGAGCCCUGGCCGGGUGUUAAAAUAACCACACGGAGGUGGGUUAUGUCCGGAAAGGACCGGUUUAUUAAAAAUUACCCGCNGNAAUUUUUUUAAGCCUUUUGGGGNGGCCGGUUAAAAAAAAAGNCCCNGUUUGGCCCGNUUAAAAUGUAGGCGGGCGGCCGCCUUNUUUUUUAAAAGGUUACCUGUCUGGAACUUAAGNGUUUGAAAAAUUCACCCCCCCCGCAAAGAGACUGUUUUUAAUACCUCUUGUGUGGCGGGCACAAAAUUUUGNGCGCAUUUUUCCGCGAGAAUAAACNCUGUGGGGGGGAAAAAGCCUUUAAAAAGAGUAU
rnacentral:rRNA from 1 species